UACAGAGGGUGCGAGCGUUGUUCGGAAUUACUGGGCGUAAAGCGCGUGUAGGCGGCUAAGCAAGUCAGACGUGAAAUCCCUGGGCUCAACUCAGGAAGUGCGUUUGAAACUAUUUGGCUAGAGUGUUGUAGAGGAUAGCGGAAUACCUAGUGUAGAGGUGAAAUUCGUAGAUAUUAGGUAGAACACCGGUGGCGAAGGCGGCUAUCUGGGCAACAACUGACGCUGAGACGCGAAAGCGUGGGGAUCAAACAGG
rnacentral:rRNA from 1 species